CAGCAGCCGCGGGAAUACGUAGGGUGCAAGCGUUAUCCGGAAUUAUUGGGCGUAAAGAGCUCGUAGGCGGUCUGUCGCGUCUGCUGUGAAAACUGGGGGCUCAACCCCCAGCCUGCAGUGGGUACGGGCAGACUAGAGUGCGGUAGGGGAGAUUGGAAUUCCUGGUGUAGCGGCGGAAUGCGCAGAUAUCAGGAGGAACACCGAUGGCGAAGGCAGAUCUCUGGGCCGUAACUGACGCUGAGGAGCGAAAGCAUGGGGAGCGAACAGGAUUAGAUACCCCAGUAGUCCCUGUCUCUUAUAC
rnacentral:rRNA from 1 species